rnacentral:rRNA from 1 species
CCUACGGGAGGCAGCAGUGGGGAAUAUUGGGCAAUGGGCGCAAGCCUGACCCAGCAACGCCGCGUGAAGGAAGAAUGCCCUCGGGUUGUAAACUUCCUUUUAUAGGGAAGUGUAGAAUUCGGUACCUGACGUAUAAGCUAUGGCUAACUACGUGCGAGCAGCUGCGGUAAUACGUAGGUGGCCAGCGUUAUCCGGAUUUACUGGGUGUAACGGGCGUGUAGGCGGGUUGACAAGUCAGAUGUGAAAGCCUGCGGCUUAACCGCAGAACUGCAGUUGAAACUGGUGUUCUUGAGUACUGGAGAGGCAGACGGAAUUCCUGGUGUAGCGGUGAAAUGCGUAGAUAUUAGGAGGAACACCGGUGGCGAAGGCAGUCUGCUGGACAGCAACUGACGGUGAGGCGCGAAAGCGUGGGGAGCAAACAGGAUUAGAUACCCUGGUAGUC